rnacentral:rRNA from 1 species
CCUACGGGAGGCAGCAGUGAGGAAUAUUGGUCAAUGGGCGCGAGCCUGAACCAGCCAAGUAGCGUGAAGGAUGAAUGCCCUACGGGUUGUCAACUUCUUUUAUAAAGGAAUAAAGUGAGGCACGUGUGCCUUUUUGUAUUUACUUUAUGAAUAAGGAUCGGAUAACUCCGUGACAGCAGCAGAGGUAAUACGGAGGAUCCGAGAGUUAUCCGGAUUUAUUGGGUUUAAAGGGAGCGUAGAUGGGUUGUUAAGUCAGUUGUGAAAGUUUGCGGCUCAACCGUAAAAUUGCAAUUGAUACUGGCAGCCUUGAGUACAGUUGAGGUAGGCGGAAUGCGUGGUGUAGCGGUGAAAUGCUUAGAUAUCACGAAGAACUCCGAUUGCGAAGGCAGCUUACUAAACUGCCACUGACAUUGAUGCUCGAAAGUGUGGGUAUCAAACAGGAUUAGAUACCCUGGUAGUC